AUUGAACGCUGGCGGCAUGCCUUACACAUGCAAGUCGAACGGCAGCACGGGGCAACCUGGUGGCGAGUGGCGAACGGGUGGGUAAUGCAUCGGUACGUACCUUUCAGUGGGGGAUAACGUAGCGACAGUUACGCUAAUACCGCAUAUUCUGUGAGCAGGAAAGCAGGGGAUCGCAAGACCUUGCGCUGAUUGAGCGGUCGAUGUAAGAUUAGGUAGUUGGUGAGGUAAAGGCUCACCAAGGCGACGAUCUGUAGCGGGUCUGAGAGGAUGAUCCGCCACACUGGAACUGAGACACGGUCCAGACUCCUACGGGAGGCAGCAGUGGGGAAUUUUGGACAAUGGGGGCAACCCUGAUCCAGCCAUGCCGCGUGAGUGAAGAAGGCCUUCGGGUUGUAAAGCUCUUUCGGCCGGGAAGAAAUCGCACGGGCUAAUACCCUGUGUGGAUGACGGUACCGGAAUAAGAAGCACCGGCUAACUACGUGCCAGCAGCCGCGGUAAUAC
rnacentral:rRNA from 1 species